AGUAGUCUCAUCCUCACAGUCUUCCUAUUAGAUAAGUCUAUCGUAAAUAGGACAACACAAACAACAAAUGCUUCUUCCUUUGUUGUAUGAACAAAGGAACUUGAGAAGAUUAGCACAAAGACAUGGACACUUUUAGUGUCAUAAUUCUUCCAUUACAAAUCAUUGUAUGAAGAAAUAAGAGUUGCUUUGAACAACCCUUAGUUAACACAAACACUAGUACUUGUUUCUUUGCUAAAUGAACAAGGAACUUGAGAAGUAAGCACAAGGGCAUGGACACUUUUUGUGCCAUGAUUCUUCACUUACAAAUUGUUGUAUGAAGAAAUGAGAGCUACCUUGAACAACUCUUGAAAGUUUUUAAUCAUGUUUGGAACAUAAUGGUUGAUUGACAAAAGUAGUACAUCAACAUGGACUUAUGAUGAUUUUGAAUCAUUGAGUGUUGAAGUGUUAAACCACUUCAGGAGACGGAAACUAGGCAAGGACUUAACCUUUGAGUGCCUAUCCAAAUUUUUCACUAAGUUUAUAGUAAGCUAUAUAGUGAAUAAUAACCGCACGCUCUCCAAAUCCUUUGAUGCGUAUAACACAAUUGAAAUAAGUUUCAAGAGAGAUAGUGG
rnacentral:lncRNA from 1 species